GACGAACGCUGGCGGCGUGCUUAACACAUGCAAGUCGAACGGAAAGGCCCUGCUUUUGUGGGGUGCUCGAGUGGCGAACGGGUGAGUAACACGUGAGUAACCUGCCCUUGACUUUGGGAUAACUUCAGGAAACUGGGGCUAAUACCGGAUAGGAGCUCCUGCUGCAUGGUGGGGGUUGGAAAGUUUCGGCGGUUGGGGAUGGACUCGCGGCUUAUCAGCUUGUUGGUGGGGUAGUGGCUUACCAAGGCUUUGACGGGUAGCCGGCCUGAGAGGGUGACCGGCCACAUUGGGACUGAGAUACGGCCCAGACUCCUACGGGAGGCAGCAGUGGGGAAUAUUGCACAAUGGGCGGAAGCCUGAUGCAGCAACGCCGCGUGCGGGAUGACGGCCUUCGGGUUGUAAUCCGCUUCCGCCUGGGACGAAGCGUGAGUGACGGUAAUGGGUAAAGAAGCACCGGCUAACUACGUG
rnacentral:rRNA from 1 species